rnacentral:rRNA from 1 species
AGAGUUUGAUCCUGGCUCAGAACGAACGCUGGCGGCGUGCUUAACACAUGCAAGUCGAACGGAUCGAGGGGCUUGCUCCUUGAUUAGUGGCGCACGGGUGAGUAACGCGUGGAUAAUCUGCCCGAUGAUCUGGGAUAACAUCUCGAAAGGGGUGCUAAUACCGGAUAAGCCCACGAAGGCUUUGGCCUUUGCGGGAAAAGAGGGGGACCUUCGGGCCUCUUGUCAUCGGAUGAGUCCGCGUACCAUUAGCUAGUUGGUGGGGUAAAGGCCCACCAAGGCGACGAUGGUUAGCUGGUCUGAGAGGAUGAUCAGCCACACUGGAACUGAGACACGGUCCAGACUCCUACGGGAGGCAGCAGUGGGGAAUUUUGCGCAAUGGGGGAAACCCUGACGCAGCAACGCCGCGUGAGUGAUGAAGGCCUUCGGGUCGUAAAGCUCUGUCUAGAGGAAAGAAAUGUACGGUGGCUAAUAUCCAUUGUACUUGACGGUACCUCUGAAGGAAGCACCGGCUAACUCCGUGCCAGCAGCCGCGGUAAUACGGAGGGUGCGAGCGUUGUUCGGAAUUAUUGGGCGUAAAGCGCGUGUAGGCGGUUUCUUAAGUCUGAUGUGAAAGCCCCGGGCUCAACCUGGGAAGUGCAUUGGAUACUGGGAGACUUGAAUACGGGAGAGGGUAGUGGAAUUCCUAGUGUAGGAGUGAAAUCCGUAGAUAUUAGGAGGAACACCGGUGGCGAAGGCGGCUACCUGGACCGAUAUUGACGCUGAGACGCGAAAGCGUGGGGAGCAAACAGGAUUAGAUACCCUGGUAGUCCACGCCGUAAACGAUGAGUACUAGGUGUUGCGGGUAUUGACCCCUGCAGUGCCGCAGCUAACGCAUUAAGUACUCCGCCUGGGAAGUACGGUCGCAAGACUAAAACUCAAAGGAAUUGACGG